rnacentral:rRNA from 1 species
AAUUUUUGCGGAGAGUUUGAUCCUGGCUCAGGAUGAACGCUGGCGGCGUGCCUAAUACAUGCAAGUCGAACGAAGAUGUUCUU